AGUGACAGACUUGCCACCCUGGUUGCACCCAAUCUCAUCUGCACUAAGAAAAUAAACAGGGAUGGGCCUGGUUAAUGCUUGGGUAGGACACCGUGUGGGAAGACUGUGUGCUGUAGGUU
ensembl:rRNA 5S_rRNA 5S ribosomal RNA